rnacentral:rRNA from 1 species
GACGAACGCUGGCGGCGUGCUUAACACAUGCAAGUCGAACGGAAAGGCCCUGCUUUUGUGGGGUGUUCGAGUGGCGAACGGGUGAGUAACACGUGAGUAACCUGCCCUUGACUUUGGGAUAACUUCAGGAAACUGGGGCUAAUACCGGAUAGGAGCUCCUGCUGCAUGGUGGGGGUUGGAAAGUUUCGGCGGUUGGGGAUGGACUCGCGGCUUAUCAGCUUGUUGGUGGGGUAGUGGCUUACCAAGGCUUUGACGGGUAGCCGGCCUGAGAGGGUGACCGGCCACAUUGGGACUGAGAUACGGCCCAGACUCCUACGGGAGGCAGCAGUGGGGAAUAUUGCACAAUGGGCGGAAGCCUGAUGCAGCAACGCCGCGUGCGGGAUGACGGCCUUCGGGUUGUAACCCGCUUUCGCCUGUGACGAAGCGUGAGUGACGGUAAUGGGUAAAGAAGCACCGGCUAACUACGUG